rnacentral:rRNA from 1 species
GACGAACGCUGGCGGCGUGCCUAAUACAUGCAAGUUGAGCGCUGAAGGUUGGUACUUGUACCAACUGGGUGAGCAGCGAACGGGUGAGUAACGCGUGGGGAAUCUGCCUUUGAGCGGGGGACAACAUUUGGAAACGAAUGCUAAUACCGCAUAAAAACUUUAAACAAAAGUUUUAAGUUUGAAAGAUGCAAUUGCCUCACUCAAAGAUGAUCCCGCGUUGUAUUAGCUAGUUGGUGAGGUAAAGGCUCACCAAGGCGAUGAUACAUAGCCGACCUGAGAGGGUGAUCGGCCACAUUGGGACUGAGACACGGCCCAAACCCCUACGGGUGGCAGCAGUAGGGAAUCUUCGGCAAUGGACGAAAGUCUGACCGAGCAACGCCGAGUGAGUGAAGAAGGGUUUCGGAUCGUAAAACUCUGUUGGUAGGGAAGAACGUUGGUGAGAGUGGAAAGCUCAUCAAGUGACGGUAACUACACAGAAAGGAACGGCUAACUACGUG